UAGCACAAAUUCUUCGGCACGCCACAAAAAUUCCACCACCAUUUCUUUCCAUCAUCAAAAUGCACAACCUCAGCCUUGUGCAUUCAGAAAAAUUAAAAUAAAAAAAAAAUGAUACAAAAACCACCACCCAUGGAUUUGGAAAAUAUAGUGGAGAUCAAUUCCAGACAUCAAUGACUGAGUUUACAGUUCGAAAUUUUCCUCCACGCCAUCCAGAACGAGUGAAACGAAUCUUAUGUUUAGUAGAGACUACAAUACCUGAGUGUGAUCCACAGACUUGUAGUGUCUGCACCCUCCGACCACUUGUUGAUGUGUUCGCUCUAAUCCAAACAACAUUC